rnacentral:rRNA from 1 species
UAGGGAAUCUUCGGCAAUGGACGAAAGUCUGACCGAGCAACGCCGCGUGAGUGAAGAAGGUUUUCGGAUCGUAAAACUCUGUUGUUAGAGAAGAACAAGGACGUUAGUAACUGAACGUCCCCUGACGGUAUCUAACCAGAAAGCCACGGCUAACUACGUGCCAGCAGCCGCGGUAAUACGUAGGUGGCAAGCGUUGUCCGGAUUUAUUGGGCGUAAAGCGAGCGCAGGCGGUUUCUUAAGUCUGAUGUGAAAGCCCCCGGCUCAACCGGGGAGGGUCAUUGGAAACUGGGAGACUUGAGUGCAGAAGAGGAGAGUGGAAUUCCAUGUGUAGCGGUGAAAUGCGUAGAUAUAUGGAGGAACACCAGUGGCGAAGGCGGCCCCCUGGACGAAGACUGACGCUCAGGUGCGAAAGCGGGGGGAGCAAACAGG